rnacentral:piRNA from 1 species
UUCGUAGGUUUACUUAUGUUGUGUUCU